rnacentral:rRNA from 1 species
UGAGUAACGCGUGGGAAUCUACCGUGCCCUGCGGAAUAGCUCCGGGAAACUGGAAUUAAUACCGCAUACGCCCUACGGGGGAAAGAUUUAUCGGGGUAUGAUGAGCCCGCGUUGGAUUAGCUAGUUGGUGGGGUAAAGGCCUACCAAGGCGACGAUCCAUAGCUGGUCUGAGAGGAUGAUCAGCCACAUUGGGAACUGAGACACGGCCCAAACUCCUACGGGAGGCAGCAGUGGGGAAUAUUGGACAAUGGGCGCAAGGCCUGAUCCAGCCAUGCCCGCGUGAGUGAUGAAGGCCUUAGGGUUGUAAAGCUCUUUCACCGGAGAAGAUAAUGACGGUAUCCGGAGAAGAAGCCCCGGCUAACUUCGUGCCAGCAGCCGCGGUAAUACGAAAGGAGCUACACUUGCUUUUUUCAAAAUUUGGGGCGUAAAGCGCACGUAGGCGGGAUAUUUAAGUCAUGGGUGAAAUCCCAGAG